GUUUUACAGUCCGAAAAUCUUUACUGCCACUUGGGCAAGAAAGGGAAGCCCUGAACACCUUGGCCUGCAAAUACCCUGCCUGUGGAGCUUGCCCUGAGCAGGUGUAGCCACAUCUGCUCCACUUCAUCCAGGGGCAGCUCUUGGUGCUGGG